rnacentral:lncRNA from 1 species
UGAAGAUCUAAGGAGGAAUUGUGGUGGUGGGAACAAAGUUGUCAGAACUCUGAGUGAUCCCUGUGCUUCUGUAGCUGGUCCCUCUGUCUGCGAGCUGGGUCAUGCCGAAUGCCAGCCAUGGUCUCACACAUCUGUCUCCUCACUAGACAGCAAGUGCUGCUACAAGUUGUGCAACGUGCUUAAACAUCACACGCCGAACAGGAGGCAGAGCCUGUCUAACUUCAAAGCACACACUCUUCACUCUGUUAAACUGAUGGAGGGGAAAAUGAACAAAACCAAGUGCCGGCUGCGUCCAGGCUGAGCUGGAGCAGGAAGGCCAUUACUGGAGAUCCCUGACUCCUGCCCAGCAUAUGAUGGAGGCCUGAGAAAAAAAUACACUAAGAGACAGAACUAAGAGAGAGACAGCAAGGUGCCAGGACAACCAAUGCCAG